rnacentral:rRNA from 1 species
GUGCCAGCCGCCGCGGUAAGACAGAGGGUGCAAACGUUGUUCGGAAUUACUGGGCGUAAAGCGUGUGUAGGCGGUCUCAUAAGUCGGAUGUGAAAGCCCCGGGCUCAACCCGGGAAGUGCAUUCGAAACUGCGAGGCUAGAGUAUCGGAGAGGUUGGUGGAAUUCUCGGUGUAGAGGUGAAAUUCGUAGAUAUCGAGAGGAACACCGGUGGCGAAGGCGGCCAACUGGACGAAUACUGACGCUGAGACACGAAAGCGUGGGGAGCAAACAGGAUUAGAUACCCUAGUAGUCC